GUGUCUUCCUGGCGGUAUGGUCACUUUGUGCUGAGCCCUCAGGUGACAUCCUGGCUGUCUCUGGCUUUUCUGCUGAAACCGGGUUUGCAUACUGCCAUGCUCCUUCCUGUGGCUACAUCUCCUUAGAGGGCUUGUUGCUUUUGCUGUCCCCUUGGCAGACACCCCUGGGAAGUCUUUGUGAUCUCUUGUUUCUGGCUUCAAACAGCUCUUGGGCUGCUGACCUACUGCUGUUUUGCAUCACCAAUGACUUAGCAGCAAAGAUAACGGAUAUUGUGCCAGUGACAGAAUUGAAAAAACAAAUAUAUACAGUAUUUCUGCAUUUGUAUAUUUUUCAGGUUUGCCCCGUGGACUUGUGGUUCCCUCUGCUGCUCUUCCCUGACUACCUGCUAAUCCUACUUAUCAGUGCUGCCCUCUCCCCCUUACAUGCUGCUCCCUUUGGCUGGAACACUAUUCUUGAAUGGAGAGUCCCUCCUGGGCCUGGUGCCACCUCAUCAGCCAUCUGAUUUCACUUCCUCAGGAAUUCCCCCAAUUAGACGGCAUUCUUCUGAUUACGCAUUCACAACACCCCAUACUGUUCUCUUGUAGAACUUAUCACAGUUUAUAACAAUAUUUGUGUGAUUAUUUUAUUCAAAUCUUCCUCCCACAGUAAAAUGCAACCUCUGUGAUUUUAUGCAUUCUGUUUGGGACCAUUCCUGUUUGGUUCUCCAUUGUACCCUCAGAACUUAAUGCAGUCAUCUAUGUAAUGAAUACCUUCGAAUGAAUAAAUGAUGAGAGAAGAUACUUGUUGAAAUCUUUUCAGAAAUACCUAAAAUGUGAUUUGUAAAUGUAUUAGUGAUGAGGAUAACAAUAAAAAUCAAAUUUAUAAAAAAAUUCCAAGGACCUUCUAAUUAAAG
rnacentral:lncRNA from 1 species